CAGUCGCCGCGGGAAUACAGAGGAUGCAAGCGUUAUCCGGAAUCAUUGGGCGUAAAGCGAGCGCAGGCGGUUAGAUAAGUCUGAAGUUAAAGGCUGUGGCUUAACCAUAGUACGCUUUGGAAACUGUCUAACUUGAGUGCAAGAGGGGAGAGUGGAAUUCCAUGUGUAGCGGUGAAAUGCGUAGAUAUAUGGAGGAACACCGGUGGCGAAAGCGGCUCUCUGGCUUGUAACUGACGCUGAGGCUCGAAAGCGUGGGGAGCAAACAGGAUUAGAUACCCGCGUAGUCCCUGUCUCUUAUACA
rnacentral:rRNA from 1 species